rnacentral:rRNA from 1 species
CGGGGUGCAGCAGGCGCGAAAACUUUACAAUGCGGGAAACCGUGAUAAGGGGACACCGAGUGCCAGCAUCAUAUGCUGGCUGUCCAGGUGUGUAAACUACACCUGUUAGCAAGGGCCGGGCAAGACCGGUGCCAGCCGCCGCGGUAACACCGGCGGCCCGAGUGGUGAUCGUGAUUAUUGGGUCUAAAGGGUACGUAGCCGGUUUGGUCAGUCCUCCGGGAAAUCUGACGGCUCAACCGUUAGGCUUUCGGGGGAUACUGCCAGGCUUGGAACCGGGAGAGGUAAGAGGUACUACAGGGGUAGGAGUGAAAUCUUGUAAUCCCUGUGGGACCACCUGUGGCGAAGGCGUCUUACCAGAACGGGUUCGACGGUGAGGGACGAAAGCUGGGGGCACGAACCGGAUUAGAUACCCGGGUAGUCCCAGCCGUAAACGAUGCUCGCUAGGUGUCAGGCAUGGCGCGACCGUGUCUGGUGCCGCAGGGAAGCCGUGAAGCGAGCCACCUGGGAAGUACGGCCGCAAGGCUGAAACUUAAAGGAAUUGGCGGGGGAGCACAAGGGCGAAUCGCGG